UUCUCUGGCCAUACCACCCUGAACGCGCCUGAUCUCAUCUGAUCUCAGAAGCUAAGCAGGGUCAGGCCUGGUUUAGUACUUGGAUGGGAGAAAUCUGCAUGUGCCACCACAC
ensembl:rRNA n-R5s3 nuclear encoded rRNA 5S 3